rnacentral:rRNA from 1 species
AUAGCGUAUAUUUAAGUUGUUGCAGUUAAAAAGCUCGUAGUUGGAUCUUGGGAUGGGGCGAGCGGUCCGCCUUUUUUGGUGUGCACUGGUCUCUCCAUCCUUUUGGUCGGGGACGCGCUCCUGGCCUUAACUGGCUGGGACGCGGAGUCGACGAUGUUACUUUGAAAAAAUUAGAGUGCUCAAAGCAAGCCUAUGCUCUGAAUACAUUAGCAUCGAAUAACGUGAUAGGACUCUGGUCCUAUUGUGUUGGUCUUCGGGACCGGAGUAAUGAUUAAUAGGGACAGUUGGGGGCAUUCGUAUUUCAUUGUCAGAGGUGAAAUUCUUGGAUUUAUGAAAGACGAACUUCUG